CCUACGGGUGGCAGCAGUGGGGAAUAUUGCACAAUGGGCGCAAGCCUGAUGCAGCCAUGCCGCGUGUGUGAAGAAGGCCUUCGGGUUGUAAAGCACUUUCAGCGGGGAGGAAGGCGGUGAGGUUAAUAACCUCAUCGAUUGACGUUACCCGCAGAAGAAGCACCGGCUAACUCCGUGCCAGCAGCCGCGGUAAUACGGAGGGUGCAAGCGUUAAUCGGAAUUACUGGGCGUAAAGCGCACGCAGGCGGUCUGUCAAGUCGGAUGUGAAAUCCCCGGGCUCAACCUGGGAACUGCAUUCGAAACGGGCAGGCUAGAGUCUUGUAGAGGGGGGUAGAAUUCCAGGUGUAGCGGUGAAAUGCGUAGAGAUCUGGAGGAAUACCGGUGGCGAAGGCGGCCCCCUGGACAAAGACUGACGCUCAGGUGCGAAAGCGUGGGGAGCAAACAGGAUUAGAUACCCGAGUAGUC
rnacentral:rRNA from 1 species